UACGGGGGGGGCAAGCGUUGUUCGGAAUUACUGGGCGUAAAGGGCGCGUAGGUGGCCUUCUAAGUUGAACGUGAAAUCCCUGGGCUCAACCCAGGAACUGCGUCCAAGACUGGGAGGCUUGAAUCCGGGAGAGGGAUGCGGAAUUCCAGGUGUAGCGGUGAAAUGCGUAGAUAUCUGGAGGAACACCGGUGGCGAAGGCGGCAUCCUGGACCGGUAUUGACACUGAGGCGCGAAAGCGUGGGGAGCAAACAGG
rnacentral:rRNA from 1 species